rnacentral:tRNA from 1 species
AAUGGAAUUAUUCCUCUUUAGA